CCAGACUCAUACGGGAGGCAGCAGUGAGGAAUAUUGGUCAAUGGGCGAGAGCCUGAACCAGCCAAGUAGCGUGCAGGAAGACGGCCCUAUGGGUUGUAAACUGCUUUUAUGCGGGGAUAAAGUGAGGGACGUGUCCUUCAUUGCAGGUACCGCAUGAAUAAGGACCGGCUAAUUCCGUGCCAGCAGCCGCGGUAAUACGGAAGGUCCGGGCGUUAUCCGGAUUUAUUGGGUUUAAAGGGAGCGUAGGCCGUGGAUUAAGCGUGUUGUGAAAUGCAGGUGCUCAACGUCUGCACUGCAGCGCGAACUGGUUCACUUGAGUGUGCACAACGCAGGCGGAAUUCGUCGUGUAGCGGUGAAAUGCUUAGAUAUGACGAAGAACUCCGAUUGCGAAGGCAGCUUGCGGGAGCACAACUGACGCUGAAGCUCGAAAGUGCGGGUAUCGAACAGGAUUAGAUACCCUGGUAGUCCGCACGGUAAACGAUGGAUGCCCGUUGUCAGGCUGUUUCAGUCUGGUGACCAAGCGAAAGCAUUAAGCAUCCCACCUGGGGAGUACGCCGGCAACGGUGAAACUCAAAGGAAUUGACGGGGGCCCGCACAAG
rnacentral:rRNA from 1 species